AUGGUGGGCUGCUCGAACGGCAGUGUCUUCACCCGCCGCCUAAACUUCACCAGCUGCGGAAACUUCGACCUGGACACCUACGAGCUCGUAUUUGCAGUGCACAGCCCGCUGUGCUAUGAGGGAGGUAUGGCCUUCCUCCCAGGAUUACAUCUCAGAAUGCCCUCUUUGUACAGUUGGGCACAACUCUUCUCCAAAGAAGAAGGGGACGGGUCGUCCUACUUUUACGUCAUGGUGGAGGCCCUGGAUACCAUGGAACCUACGUUAAAUGUGUAUAUGUUACAAAAUGGUGGUAAUGCCUGGCACAAACAUCUCACCUUGGUGUCGGACCUCCUCUGGCGUCCAUCUAGUCCCAAAGGCGUGCUCAUUGACAACAAAAUCUAUGUCGCGACCUACAAUGCAAUUGUUGUCCUGGAUUUGACGUCCUCAAUCUUAUCGACAAUUCAGCUCCCACACGGGGUGGGUUUUGGCCUAGGCGCCACCGUGUUGUCACGGGCCGAUGAUGGUUCUGUUUUAUAUCUCAUCCAUAUCAAGGAGCUUCAACUUCACAUCUGGCUCCACAAUGGGGACAACUGGCUGCUGGUGGACACCAUUUGCUUGAGUGAAAUGUGUGCUAAUUUUCCUGAGGAUGAGCUUACUACUUGUAUCCGGAUAAACCAUGUGGGGGACUAUAAUGAGUAUGUAUUCUUGGAGAUGGAUCAAUAUGCACUCUACUUGGAUGUCAAGUGCAGGACGCUGCGUAAAGUGUGCGAGAUGAUAGCAGAUGAGUAUCAUUUGGGUGAUAUCUAUCCUUUUAUGAUGAGCUGGCCUCCCAUUUUCCCUACUCUCAGUCCUGCAAGGGAUGCCACUUGA
rnacentral:rRNA from 1 species